rnacentral:lncRNA from 1 species
UUUUUAAAUAAAAGCUCUAUCUUUAAUAACAAAAAAAAUAUGCAAAAUUUUCGAUCUAAAAAAGUACAUGUUAAUUGUAAAAAACCGAAAUUUCGAUUUUCUUCAAAAACUACAAUUUUUUCAAUUUUAAUAAUUAUGUGCAAGGUGCCCCUUUGCCAGGAGUGCUUGGCAGUUUCUAAAUGAAAGCUUUAUCUUUAAUAACAAAAAAGUAAUGCAAAAUUUUCGAUCUAAAAAAGUACAUGGUAAUUGUAAAAAACCGAAAUUUCGAUUUUUCUCAAAAACUAUAAUUUUUUCAAUUUUGAUAAUUAUGUGCAAGGUGCCCCUUCACUAGGAGUACUUGACUGUUUUUAAAUGAAAGCUCUAUCUUUAAUAACAAAAAAGUUAUGCAAAAUUUUCGAUCUAAAAAAGUACAUGUUAAUUGUAAAAAACCG